CAGGGCAUAGCUAAGACAGAAAAGCAGCUCCCUUACACUGAGCAGUCAUUCGUGCAAAUCGAAUUGCCCUGA
rnacentral:tRNA from 1 species